rnacentral:lncRNA from 12 species
GAUGAAUAAUGGAAGAAGGCUGUUGAAUUUUUCGGACAUUGUUCACAGAAUUAUCUACACCAUUUGAAGGUUCCAAGGAGUACAAGGAAAUGCUCCAGGCUAAAACCAUGACAACACUAACAGUAGUCCCAGCACAUACCUUCCAGAUGAUUUUAUGGGAGCCAGCACUUCAUGAAUAACCUACAGUCAGAAAAUGAGAUCUCUUCCAAGAAAAGCAGAAUGCUGCCUUUCUUUUCCAAUUUCUCUGUUCU